rnacentral:tRNA from 1 species
GAGGAUGUAGUUCAGUGGUAGAGUGUUUGCCCAGCACGCUCAAGGCCCUGGGUUCCAUCCCCAGCACCACA